rnacentral:rRNA from 1 species
UUUGGCUCGCAACUCGCAAGGAGGCCAGGCACGUCGUCCAACUGAUGCACCGGCGGCGCGUAUCGGCGUGGGGGUGGGCCGGCGACACACAGCGGCGUGGGGGUGGGCCGGCGGCGCGUGUUGUGACCGGCGGCAGGACGUUGAGAUGGGAUUGUUUUUUUACGGGAUUGGGAGGCAGGGACGUGCGGGUGGGUGGGUGGGUUAUUUCUUUUUCUCUCUUGUCAGUAUCGCUUCAGGUUGACUUAUAAUAGUAUUACGGGUUGAAUAGCCAAAAUAGCAGGGGGGUUUCUGUAAAAAUGCCGAUGACGUACGACAGAAACCCUACGUGCUUUAUUAUUAGGUAAAGAUACACAGCACGUUGUGCAAAGUUGUAACACCGUGGCAAGAAAAGAAGAAAAUAAAAAGAGGAAUUUUUAGGGUA